ensembl:lncRNA
CCCCAGUGAGCGGCCCACGGCAGACCCGAGACCAGGCCCGCUUGACCCGUUGGAGGUAGUUCACUGGUAGCUGCAGGGCCUUGACUGGAUAUCCCAGGCAGAAGGUGUCAUGCUGGUCCUGUGCUGGAUGCUGCUGGGGCUGAAAAAGGAAAUUAACAACAAAAGUUCCAGAAGGAGCGCUUGAAGUUCUGUACAUGAAGCCUAAAGAGUGAGCUAAGGACAAGGAAACCACACUGAACAGAUCAAGGACGAGACACAGAUGUUUGAUAUUUUGCUUCCAAAUAAUCAGUGGGGACUAGAAUGCAAAAGAAGGAAGUCGAAAAACACCUGGAGUAACCGGCAAAUUUUGCCUUGGAACGCAGAAUGAAGCAGGGCGAAGACUAAUAGAGUUUUGCCAAGAAAAUGCACUGGUCAUAGCAAACACCAUCUUCCAACAACACAAGAGAAGACUCUAUCCAUGGACAUCACCAGAUGGUCAACACCGAAAUCAGAUUGAUUAUAUUAUUUGCAGCCAAAGAUGAAGAAGCUCUAUACAGUCAACAAAAACAAGACCAGGAGCUGACUGUGGCUCAGAUCAUGAACUCCUUAUAACCAAAUUCAGACUGAAACUGAAAAAAGCAGGGGAAACCGCUAGACCAUUCAGGUAUGACCUAAAUCAAAUCCCUUAAGAUUAUACAGUGGAAGUGAGAAAUAG